rnacentral:misc_RNA from 1 species
GAUGAAGAGCGUAGCGAAAUGCGAUAAGUAAUGUGAAUUGCAGAAUUCAGUGAAUCAUCGAAUCUUUGAACGCACAUUGCGCCCCUUGGUAUCCCGAGGGGCAUGCCUGUUCGAGCGUCAUUUCACCACUCAAGCCUGGCUUGGUGUUGGGCGACGUCCUCUUUGGGGACGCGCCUCGAAACGCUCGGCGGCGUGGCACCGGCUUUAAGCGUAGCAGAAUCUUUCGCUUUGGAAGUCGGGGCCCCGUCUGCCGGAAGACCUGCUCGCAAGGUUGACCUCGGAUCAGGCAGGGAUACCCGCUGAACUUAAGCAUAUCAAUAAGCGGAGGA